GACGUAGGAUGCAAGCGUUGUUCGGAUUUAUUGGGCGUAAAGCGUGUGUAGGUGGUUGCUUAAGUCUGGUGUUAAAAGCAGGAGCUCAACUCCUGGCAUGCACUGGAUACUGGGCGGCUAGACCCCGGUAGAGGAAGGUGGAAUUCCUGGUGUAGCGGUGGAAUGCGUAGAUAUCAGGAGGAACACCUGUGGCGAAAGCGGCCUUCUGGGCCGGUGGUGACACUGAGACACGAAGGCGUGGGGAGCAAACGGG
rnacentral:rRNA from 1 species